rnacentral:misc_RNA from 1 species
CCCAUGGACUUGAUGGAUAAUCGACGGUUGCCCAUAAAAUAAUACCGAAUUUGCUUACACUAAGCAAGCGUUCUGCAUUAGAAUGAAGGAUGGAAGGUCAAAAUGUUAAAUCUGGAUUCAUAGCUGUGCAUCUGGGAGCUGGUUAUCAUUCUAGCCUCAAUUUGAAAGAGUACAAAGCAGUGUGUCAGCAAGCUUGCAAACAGGCCAUGAAAAUGAUACAUGACAGAUGUUGUGCCCUGGAUGUGGUUUCUGCAGCUGUUGCCAUCCUAGAGGAUAGUCCAUUCACCAAUGCAGGUAUUGGAUCCAACCUUAAUCUGUGCGGGAAUGUGGAAUGCGAUGCUAGCAUCAUGGAUGGGAGAAGUCUGCAGUAUGGUGCUGUAGGAGCAUUAUCUGGUGUGCAGAAUCCUAUUAAAGUGUGCAGAGCACUCAUUCAGGAACAGAUGAAGGGACCAUUGUCUUGUGGCAGAAUUCCACCUUGUGUUUUGGUAGGUAAUGGGGCACUGCAGUGGGCACGGAACUACGGCAUUCAGGAGACGACAACCAGCUCACUGCUGACAAAGAGCACCCUCUCUGCCUACCGCAAACAUAAGAGGAGAUUGUCGGCGGUGGACCAGAACUCUUCAAAGAAACGUGACACGAGUGACAACCAUAUCCAACCUCCCUGCCUGGUUGUUGACAGUUUGCCAUCCGAUGGUGUUAGUUGCAUAGAUUCCUUGUUAGAUACUGUGGGCGCGGUGUGUGUGGAUGCAAGCGGCAACGUUAGCAGUGCUGUGUCUAGUGGGGGUAUCGCCCUCAAACACCCGGGCAGAGUUGGUCAGGCAUCAAUGUAUGGGUGUGGUUGCUGGGCCCAGAAUGGGACCAAAGAUGACCGGCCAUCCGUGGCCUGUUCUACGUCGGGCUGUGGGGAGCACCUCAUGAAAACCUUGCUAGCCAAGGAGUGCUGCAGAAGUGUGCUAGGCUCGGGCGAUUGCUCCGCCAUGGCUGUGCAGAGGACCUUCAGGGAAGGAUUCAUAGAAUCGCCCUUUCUGGCGUCAGUUGACGAAAAACUUGGGGGCGCCCUUGUAUUGAGCCAUCACCAUGACGAGGGAGUGGAACUAGUGUGGGCACACACUACAGAGACAAUGUGUCUGGGUUACAUGAGUUCAGUCUCCAGUACUCCAAAGUUUCAGCUGUCCAGUUUACCUGCCUCUGCCACGUCAGGGAAAUCUCUUCAAGUACAAGGGGUUAACUUCAAGCAACCUCCGUAGAUGGAAGGCAGAAACUGCAGACAUCCAUAAAACGUUAAGUCGCAAUUCCCUAAAAUGUAUGAGGAAACCUACCCAUCAUAACUCUUGCCGUGUGCGACAGCGAAGAGUGUCAGCAAUACGAAUAGCAACUGCAUGGUGUCUUGCUCUAACCGGAACGGCUCACACUGCAACAAGCUAACUGGCAUGGACCUCUUGACAACGCUAAUAACGAUUUGGGAGUGUGAUUAAAGGCUUCCAAUUGGUGAUGAUUGUUCGGAACAGACAAGGCUCUCCAGUUCACAC